UACGUAGGUCCCGAGCGUUGUCCGGAUUUAUUGGGCGUAAAGCGAGCGCAGGUGGUUUAUUAAGUCUGGUGUAAAAGGCAGUGGCUCAACCAUUGUAUGCAUUGGAAGCUGGUAGACUUGAGUGCAGGAGAGGAGAGUGGAAUUCCAUGUGUAGCGGUGAAAUGCGUAGAUAUAUGGAGGAACACCGGUGGCGAAAGCGGCUCUCUGGCCUGUAACUGACACUGAGGCUCGAAAGCGUGGGUAGCAAACAGG
rnacentral:rRNA from 1 species